rnacentral:rRNA from 1 species
GCUAUACAUGCAGUCGAACGCGUUGGCCCAAUUGAUUGAUGGUGCUUGCACCUGAUUGAUUUUGGUCGCCAACGAGUGGCGGACGGGUGAGUAACACGUAGGUAACCUGCCCAGAAGCGGGGGACAACAUUUGGAAACAGAUGCUAAUACCGCAUAACAACGUUGUUCGCAUGAACAACGCUUAAAAGAUGGCUUCUCGCUAUCACUUCUGGAUGGACCUGCGGUGCAUUAGCUUGUUGGUGGGGUAAUGGCCUACCAAGGCGAUGAUGCAUAGCCGAGUUGAGAGACUGAUCGGCCACAAUGGGACUGAGACACGGCCCAUACUCCUACGGGAGGCAGCAGUAGGGAAUCUUCCACAAUGGGCGCAAGCCUGAUGGAGCAACACCGCGUGAGUGAAGAAGGGUUUCGGCUCGUAAAGCUCUGUUGUUAAAGAAGAACACGUAUGAGAGUAACUGUUCAUACGUUGACGGUAUUUAACCAGAAAGUCACGGCUAACUACGUGCCAGCAGCCGCGGUAAUACGUAGGUGGCAAGCGUUAUCCGGAUUUAUUGGGCGUAAAGAGAGUGCAGGCGGUUUUCUAAGUCUGAUGUGAAAGCCUUCGGCUUAACCGGAGAAGUGCAUCGGAAACUGGAUAACUUGAGUGCAGAAGAGGGUAGUGGAACUCCAUGUGUAGCGGUGGAAUGCGUAGAUAUAUGGAAGAACACCAGUGGCGAAGGCGGCUACCUGGUCUGCAACUGACGCUGAGACUCGAAAGCAUGGGUAGCGAACAGGAUUAGAUACCCUGGUAGUCCAUGCCGUAAACGAUGAGUGCUAGGUGUUGGAGGGUUUCCGCCCUUCAGUGCCGGAGCUAACGCAUUAAGCACUCCGCCUGGGAGUACGACCGCAAGGUUGAACUCAAAGGAAUUGACGGGGGCCCGCCACAAGCGGUGGAGCAUG